ACUAAUCUAAAUAUACUAAAUCAGCAGUCAAUUUUCCAAUAACUGAUGCAUUCAGUGAUUGACACAUCAGCUUAGUACUACUUUUUUAUUUUUUCAUUUUUACGCAUAGUAUGUGUCGUUUUUAUUUAACUUUGUUUCAUUCUCAAACGAUUUUCUCUUUCAUCCCCACGAUCUCCACAUCUCCACUUUCUCUCUUCCAAAAACUCCAUGACUACUGUGUAAAAUCUCAAAGAUGGGUUUCUCAACAUCAUUAAUCGAUUACUCAGAAAUCAGGUACUUUGUUCAUCUCAAUGAACCAAUUUACCAUCUUCUAUUUUUGUUUGUAAUUUUGUUUUAUAUAUAUAGAAUUCUCCAUAGAUCCGAAAAUCAUAUAUCCUUCUUCUAGAUUUCUAUGGCUUUUUUUUUUUUUUGCUUUGUUUCUGCUUUAUUUGACUGAAUUCGAUUUCUCUCAUACAUCUCCAUUUUUCCAUAGGAUUAUUCUUUAAUACAAUCAAUGCCUAUGAUUCUCCCGUCUCACAAACACUCAAAGAACAACGACAAAUUUUGGCUUCUCAUCUGAACAGUUGCCUUAAAACAAGGGUGAGUUUAAUAUCUUAAUCGAAGCUCAAGUGUUUUUUUAAUGGUAAAUUAAUUCUCAUACUUUUUACUAUUCUUCUUUCAUCUCUUAUUUUACUUCUUUAUAUUUGCAAUUUCUUUUUUGUAUUAAACCGCAAUUGUAUUUUCACGCAAGAUUUUUGUAUUAAUACAAAUACUUCAAUUUUAAAGUCAUCUCUUAUUUUACUUCUUUAUAUCUGCAAUAUCUUUGAUAUUGUUUCAAAGGCAGCGUCUGCGUUAUGUAGUUACUUACUUGUGCACAUUUUACAUUUUUUUUUAGACUUCCAAGCUUUGGGUGUCAACGAAUGUUUGUAAACUGAAUUACUGAUGAUGAGAAGAAGAACACAUUACAAUUGGUUGGAGCUAAUGAUGAAAUAAGCGGACAUGUAUAUACCCAGCAUAAUUUUCGUACUUAUACUCUCUUAUAUUUCUAAACUCUUGAUUUGUUAGUUACUGUCUAUCGCAAUUGAUUCAUUGGGUAGAAAAGUUGUACCUUCUUUAUAUCUUUUUCUUAAUCUUUGUAUAUUCUUCAGUCAAUGAUAAUAAAUUUGUUGUAUAUUUAUGCUGUCUGCUUUAUUUUAAAAAUCUUAGUUAAGAGUUGUAGCAGAUAUAAUUUAAAACAAUGUUGUCCCUGCAUAGUAGGGGCCAAAUGCUAGUAGUAGUUUAAAAGUAAAGUA
rnacentral:sRNA from 1 species